AUUGAACGCUGGCGGCAGGCCUAACACAUGCAAGUCGAGCGGAGGAAGGGAGCUUGCUCCUGCAUUCAGCGGCGGACGGGUGAGUAAUGCCUAGGAAUCUGCCUGGUAGUGGGGGAUAACGUCCGGAAACGGGCGCUAAUACCGGAUACGUCCUGAGGGCGUAAGUGGGGGAUCUUCGGACCUCACGCUAUCAGAUGAGCCUAGGUCGGAUUAGCUAGUUGGUGGGGUAAAGGCCUACCAAGGCGACGAUCCGUAACUGGUGUGAAAGGAUGAUCAGUCACACUGGAACUGAGACACGGUCCCGACUCCUACGGGAGGCAGCAGUGGGGAAUAUUGGACAAUGGGCGAAAGCCUGAUCCAGCCAUGCCGCGUGUGUGAAGAAGGUCUUCGGAUUGUAAAGCACUUUAAGUUGGGGGGAAGGGCAGUAAGUUAAUACCUUGCUGUUUUGACGUUACCAACAGAAUAAGCACCGGCUAACUUCGUG
rnacentral:rRNA from 1 species